CCAUGCCGCGUGAAUGAUGAAGGUCUUAGGAUUGUAAAAUUCUUUCACCGGGGAAGAUAAUGACGGUACCCGGAGAAGAAGCCCCGGCUAACUUCGUGC
rnacentral:rRNA from 1 species